rnacentral:rRNA from 1 species
UACGAAGGGGGCUAGCGUUGUUCGGAAUCACUGGGCGUAAAGGGCGCGUAGGCGGCUUUAUAAGUCGGGGGUGAAAGCCUGUGGCUCAACCACAGAAUUGCCUUCGAUACUGUAGAGCUUGAGACCGGAAGAGGUAAGUGGAACUGCGAGUGUAGAGGUGAAAUUCGUAGAUAUUCGCAAGAACACCAGUGGCGAAGGCGGCUCACUGGCCCGGUACUGACGCUGAGGUGCGAAAGCGUGGGGAGCAA